AAGGGGGCCUCAAAGUAGGAUAGAAGGUCCUACCCUGAAAGAAUCUAUCAUCUGGUGGCCUCACAGAUGCUUGCCUCUGGAGGACUAUUCAGGGUAGUAAUAAGUGGAUCAUGAUAAAGCUGACCAGACUUGCUGAGGAAGUCUCUGCAGAGAAAGGGAAGAGGGCAAUGGGACAAGAGAGCCAGACAAGGCUUCCCAACAGUGACAAAUUAGGAGCAGGACCUUGAGAUUAAUGUGGGAUUUGAUUUGAAGGGGAGGGGAUGUGAGGCCAUUCCAGACAGGUGGAAAGCCAGAGAAGUUGAUGAUAGAUCACCAGAACUAUCUAUAAGACCUAUCUAAUCCUAUCUCUGCCCUGCUCACAACCUGUCACUGGUUCCUCAUCACCUGUAGGAUAAAGUGCAAGCCUUUAGCCAGGCAUAGCACCAUCGGUCUCUGCUUACUUCUCCAGCCUCUUCAUCCCCCUGCGCUGUGCCUUGGUCAUUAUGCUUUGGCAAUACCUUCCUUUUAUGCCUCUCUGAGUACUCCCUGCUAUUUCGUGCCUUUGAGAUUUUGCCUUCAAUGUGUCCUCUGUCUAGGAUGUUUUUUCUUGUCCCCCUCAGGCUGGUGAAGCUUCCCUCAAUCACCAGAGCUCUUCUAAGACUCCCUAGCUGUCCAGGUCACUUAGUGAAGGGAGUUGGAUUGUUGCUUGGGAAAGGGGGAAGGGAAGACAGAAAGAAAGGAAGGAGAGACGGAGAAGAGAAGAAGUGCCGUGGGCUCCAUCUCAUUGCUUAUCAGGGAUGCUAAUAACCUCCCACCUGCCACUACAACCACGAGAUGGAUAAUCAAAGGAUAUGAGCUUAAAAUCUGGAGAAACAGAAGAGAUGCCAUUUGUCUCAACAGAAAACCCUCUAAUAAGACCCAGAAAAGAAAGUCAAGGUGAGACAGGAGCACCAGUGCCCCUGAGAUGAGCCCCUACACCGAGCCAUGACCCAUCUAAGCAAGGAGACGUGGGUACUAAGAAGGUACUGGGCACUCUGCAUGUUUCAGACCCUUUGCUUAGGAGGAAACCAGUGCAGGAACUCAACUUCUCUGUGGUUCAUGCUUUCUUGUCUGUUCUUGGGAUAUUCAGCACUAAUUUGGUCACCAUUAGGACCCUUCCUGUGAAAUGAUCCUUUGUAUCAUCACAAUUAGUUGAUUUGGAGUGAUUUCUAAUCACACAAUUAGGACUUCCAGUGAGGAACAGAGAAAUUCUACUUAUAAAAGCUAAUUAGUAAAACACAAGCCAAACAGAGGCCAAAUAGAGAUCCUUCUCUAUUCACACACCUCAGAACAUGCACAAUGAAGAGACCAAGGGUCCUCACAUUCCCUGGGACUUCCCAGGGGUUCUCUGGUUCUAUCGUCACAUGACUAGACAAUAACUUCCAAUAGUUCAGCAAUUAUAACUGCAUGUUUUGAAGUCAGACAAACUUGAGUUGGAAUUUUGUCCCUACUCCUUCCACUAGGGGGGUGACAGGUGAUUUCAACUCUCUAAGCCAUCGUUUCCUUACAUGUAAAGUGGUGGUGAGAACACUUAACUCAUAAUGUAUACAAUGUACUUAGCUCUAUCCUGGCACAUAAUAAAUGCCCAGGAAAUACCUGGAAGCCA
rnacentral:lncRNA from 12 species